rnacentral:rRNA from 1 species
GACGAACGCUGGCGGCGUGCUUAACACAUGCAAGUCGAACGGAAAGGCCCUGCUUUUGUGGGGUGCUCGAGUGGCGAACGGGUGAGUAACACGUGAGUAACCUGCCCUUGACUUUGGGAUAACUUCAGGAAACUGGGGCUAAUACCGGAUAGGAGCUCCUGCUGCAUGGUGGGGGUUGGAAAGUUUCGGCGGUUGGGGAUGGACUCGCGGCUUAUCAGCUUGUUGGUGGGGUAGUGGCUUACCAAGGCUUUGACGGAUAGCCGGCCUGAGAGGGUGACCGGCCACAUUGGGACUGAGAUACGGCCCAGACUCCUACGGGAGGCAGCAGUGUGGAAUAUUGCACAAUGGGCGGAAGCCUGAUGCAGCAACGCCGCGUGCGGGAUGACGGCCUUCGGGUUGUAAACCGCUUUCGCCUGUGACGAAGCGUGAGUGACGGUAAUGGGUAAAGAAGCACCGGCUAACUACGUG